UGGGGAAUUUUGGACAAUGGGGGCAACCCUGAUCCAGCCAUGCCGCGUGCGGGAAGAAGGCCUUCGGGUUGUAAACCGCUUUAGUCCGGGAAAAAUGUUUCUAUGGUUAAUACCCAUGGGAGUUGAUGGUACUGGAAGAAUAAGGACCGGCUAACUACGUGCCAGCAGCCGCGGUAAUACGUAGGGUCCAAGCGUUAAUCGGAAUUACUGGGCGUAAAGCGUGCGCAGGUGGUUUUGUAAGACAGAGGUGAAAUCCCCGGGCUUAACCUGGGAAUGGCCUUUGUGACUGCAAGGCUAGAGUGUGGCAGAGGGGGGUGGAAUUCCACGUGUAGCAGUGAAAUGCGUAGAGAUGUGGAGGAACACCGAUGGCGAAGGCAGCCCCCUGGGCUAACACUGACGC
rnacentral:rRNA from 1 species